AUGACUUUGAUCUCCGUCCUCAUCUGGACUCUCCUCUGCUGCUGCUUCACAGAGUCCAGAGGCCAGAUCACAGUGACUCAGUCUGCAGCAGUGACAUCUGCUCUGGGAGGCUCCGCAACCAUCAGCUGUAGGACCAGUCAGGAUGUUCUUAUUGACAGCAUCGACCACUACUUAGCCUGGUACCAACAGAGAGAUGGAGAAACUCCUAAACUGCUCAUUUAUUUCGCUAAUAAUCGAGCAUCAGGGAUUCCAGAUCAUUUUACAGGCAGUGGAUCAAAAUCUGACUUCACUCUGACCAUCAGUGGAGUUCAGGCUGAAGAUGCAGCAGUUUAUUACUGUAAGAGUUAUCACUAUAUCAACAGUCAGUAUGUGUUCACACAGUGAAAAACCGUCGUAC